CCACAAAUCCGUGGCCACAGAACAGCAGAAUAUGAACGAAUAUGAAUAUGAAGACAAUAUGACCGAGAGAAUAUGAAGUCUCUCGUUAAGCAUUUUCCUCCCGUAGACAACCAUUGACACUUAAUAUGGCUCAAUGUAUUAAGAUGCAAUUAUAAGAUCAAAUUCAAUAUACAGAUUAUUAAUAUAAUGUAUAUGUAGGCUACCUAGUGUUUUCCUUCGCAAAACGUGGCAUAAUGUGGCAUAAUGGAUUAAGAUGAUAAAGACUAAACUCAAUAUGCUUCUAUUUAUUAUUAAAACAACUACACACAAGCAGGUGAGCCCAGAAUAAACGCAACGCCGCGUACAUUCGCGUUUUCCCAUAAAGAACAAUCUCUACAGCUCUUUUAUAUCAUUGUCUUUUGUUUAUAUUGGUUUUCUACGGGAGGAAAAUGUCUAUUUAACGCACUGCGUUCUGGGCACGUCUGCUUGCCUAAACAGAGUUGGUCUUUUUAAUAUCACCUAAUGCCUUUCUUAUGGCGCGUUCAUAUCUGCUGGUAUAUCGUUUGACAACAGUAAGGUUUAUAUUGAAUUUUGUCUGUAUCAUCUUAGUCCAUUUUGCCACACGGAUUUGUGGGUCUUGUUUUUAUCUCCUACAGAUGACUUGCAGGACCCUGUACGUUAAGCUAUUGAAUUAGUUUUAAUCGUUUAACGACCACAGCGUCUUGUCUCUAUUGGCAGUACGCACCAUUUGUGUGGAUUGCAAGUAGCAGAGAGUGCAGGUGGCGAUUGCAAGUGGCAUUGUAAUUUAGUUUAUUUUUUCUGUUGUUGUAAAAUGUUGAGAGAUUCAAUUAAAAAGUAAAAAUAAAAUAGACUGCAAGUGACGUUACUUCCGGAUGUGCAGGUGCAUGUCUGCAGCCAGACCCUUCUUGAAAGGAGGGGUUUAGAGAGACUGAUUCUUCAAACUGCUUUGCAUGAGUUGUUUAUGAAUCAUUUAGAAAUUAGGUUAAAUUAAAUCUAUUUUUGGAGAUAACUAAGGUUAUUUAGCAACUUUUAAAGUGGCUUAAUAGGAGCACUUUAAAGAUAAAAAUCUUCUUGUAGCAAGAUAAGUAGCCUUAACAGUGUUCUUGCACCAUUAGUUGGGAAUAGGAGUUUUAAUUAGGGUUGUGCGGAUGUGGAGUGGAGGGCCAGGAAGGAAAUGGCAGUAAGAUGGCACAGUUGUUGUCUUGGUGUACGGGGGUGAUACACAUCACGCCACUGGGGUACACUCUUAACCCGGAUUUUGUCUAAACCAAAAAAUGUAAGCAGUCAUUACGUAUUCUUUAUUGUUUUUUUAAAAAAAGUUGUCACUGCUAAAAAAUAGUAGUUGUUUGCACUAUUUAGACAAAUAAUUGACUACACUGAUCAAGUUAAGAAGACAUCACUCAGUAUGUUACGUUUUUGAAAAGGGGGAGGGGCUUUUUGAAGCAGGUCGCGUGAACAGAGCUGCUUCACUGAAGAGACGCGCCAACGGUUAAUCUUUGAAAACAACGUGAAUCGGACUCUGCUGAUGAUCAUGUGUUCCAAGACCUUGACCUUGGAAUCCUCCUUGUUGAGCGUGAAGGUGCUGUGUCUCCGUCCUCUCUGCAUCUCAAUCCAGCCUCAUUUAAGAUUGUCAUCGAGGGAGAAGUUGUGAUGAAAAGCAUUAAAGACUUGCCAAAGGCUAUGUGCCUUCUCUUUGGACUUACAUAUGCACUUCAUCUAAGCUACCCCAAACCAAUGAAGAACACAUUUCAGUUCAUCCAGCAGGUACUUCUAAUGUUGGGCCACACUGACUUGAAGCCCAGGUUACAUUAAAGAACCAGCUUGCAAUUUAAUUUUGACAGGAGUGGCUGUUUACUGUUCUUGAUGUGCACAAUUAAUCUCUGAGGUGAUUCUCUUGUUCCAAAUAUCCUGUCAUUGCUGUAAGUUAAAUUAAACCAGUUAAAUUGAAAGAGGUUAAAAGAGAAAGAGGUUAAAAGAGAAAAUAAAGAGUUAAAUUGUACCAGUUUUCUGUGGUAAAAAUGUUUAAAAUUCACAGGAGUCAUCUUUGUUUCAAAGAGUUGACUCAAGUUUUAAUGCUUAUCUAGUUUCAAUGCAUGUUUAGUCAUUCAGAGGGAUAUGGCAUAUUGUUGAAUACUAUGUGUUCAUGUUACUGUAAGCAAUCUGUACAGUUGUUGACUAGCAAAUAAGAAUUGUAUGUCAAAAAAAUGUUACUUGUCUUUUGUAUGACAAGUUCAUACAUGGAGGAAUACACUGUACUGCUUGUUUUUAUGAGCAAUAAAAACAUUGGAAUGCG